UACGUAGGGAGCAAGCGUUGUUCGGAUUUACUGGGCGUAAAGGGCGCGUAGGCGGCGCGACAAGUCACUUGUGAAAUCUCCGGGCUUAACUCGGAACGGUCAAGUGAUACUGUCGGACUAGAGUACAGAAGGGGCAACUGGAAUUCUCGGUGUAGCGGUGAAAUGCGUAGAUAUCGAGAGGAACACCUGCGGCGAGGGCGGGUUGCUGGGCUGAUACUGACGCUGAGGCGCGAAAGCCAGGGGAGCGAACGGG
rnacentral:rRNA from 1 species